CAUUAGAUAACUUAAAGUAAGUGCUGGUCUCUUAAACCAUAUAAUAAUAACUAACGCCUAUUUCUAAUGA
rnacentral:tRNA from 1 species